GUGUGCACAGUCAAUCGAAAUGUUAAACAAGGUUGCUAUUGUAUGUCGCGGGCAUGCGAACUGCAUGCAAGAAAAUCUGGUUGCUCUGUUCGAGAUGGUAUUUAACUGACUGUAUUUUAUUUGCACAAGGGAGAAGUUUAGUACACAAAUUAAUUCUCUCCGCAAAUAACGAAUUUACAAAGUUACAAUCGACAUUCCGGAAAAGAAGUGCACAGAGUUCAGUAAACUAAUCGUGCUAGUGGACAUAAGCAACAAUGGAACAGUGCGAUGCUCGCGUCGCUUCUGCAGAACAGUUUUUUCGAACCAAUGGAAAUAGAUAUUACAGAAGCCACUCCAGAGGGCAACAGAGAGACAUUGUUCGCUACACCGGAGCUAUUCAUCCCAGUGGUUCAACAGAGAAGUCCGAAUGAAGUUAAUCGAGUCAAACUCGAGUGAUACAUCUGAACUAAUUGAUCUUUUCCUGGAAAUCCUCCGCCGUCGAUAUACGUAUCGCCAGUGAUGCUUCCCGAAGGAGACCACUGAGCACCGAGCUGUAUUAUUGAAUUUCAGAAACGAAUCUGACGGAAUUCCAAGCAGCUGGACCCUCGCAUGCCCAUACUAACCAUGAUCCAGAUCCCGAGUCCAUGGCGGCAAGCAAUUACAUUAUAAUGGAGGCACCUACAUAGACGGUCGUACAAUUUCCCAAUGAUUAUUCAGUCAUCCAAAUUAAAUGGAAAUCCUAAACGAAGACGAUAGUCGGUGGAAGAAAAUUUUGUCUUAACGUUUUUCGUAAUUGGAAUUCACUCUGUGCACGGAGGAGGGUUAUCUUGCAAUUUGGAGACAUUUUGUAAAGUUCAGAUGAGUUUGUACAUGGUGCAAGUAAAAUAUAUUAACAAAUACAUUCAUUUAAA